GACGAACGCUGGCGGCGUGCUUAACACAUGCAAGUCGAACGGAAAGGCCCUGCUUUUGUGGGGUGCUCGAGUGGCGAACGGGUGAGUAACACGUGAGUAACCUGCCCUUGACUUUGGGAUAACUUCAGGAAACUGGGGCUAAUACCGGAUAGGAGCUCCUGCUGCAUGGUGGGGGUUGGAAAGUUUCGGCGGUUGGGGAGGGACUCGCGGCUUAUCAGCUUGUUGGUGGGGUAGUGGCUUACCAAGGCUUUGACGGGUAGCCGGCCUGAGAGGGUGACCGGCCACAUUGGGACUGAGAUACGGCCCAGACUCCUACGGGAGGCAGCAGUGGGGAAUAUUGCACAAUGGGCGGAAGCCUGAUGCAGCAACGCCGCGUGCGGGAUGACGGCCUUCGGGUUGUAAACCGCUUUCGCCGGUGACGAAGCGUGAGUGACGGUAAUGGGUAAAGAAGCACCGGCUAACUACGUG
rnacentral:rRNA from 1 species